rnacentral:rRNA from 1 species
UGGCGGCGUGCCUAAUACAUGCAAGUCGAACGAGGUGCUUUUGUAGCAAUACGAAAGUAUCCUAGUGGCGAACGGGUGAGUAACGCGUUGGUGACCUACCCCAAAGUGUGGAAUAACAGUUCGAAAGAACUGCUAAUACCGCAUGUGGUUAUCGGCUUUAGAAACUGAUAACUAAAGGAGCAAUUCGCUUUGGGAGGGACCUGCGUCCCAUCAGCUAGUUGGUGAGGUAAUGGCUCACCAAGGCUACGACGGGUAGGGGACCUGAGAGGGUGACCCCCCACAAUGGAACUGAAACACGGUCCAUACACCUACGGGUGGNAGCAGUAGGGAAUAUUGCACAAUGGGCGAAAGCCUGAUGCAGNAACGCCGCGUGUGCGAUGAAGGCCUUCGGGUCGGUAAAGCAC